rnacentral:rRNA from 1 species
UGGGAAGUAUUGCACAAUGGAGGAAACGUACUGAUGCAGCGAUGCCGCGUGAGGGAAGAAGGUUCUCGGAUUGUAAACCUCUGUCUUCAGGGACGAUAAUGACGGUACCUGAGGAGGAAGCUCCGGCUAACUACGUGCCAGCAGCCGCGGUAAUACGUAGGGAGCAAGCGUUGUCCGGAAUUACUGGGUGUAAAGGGAGUGUAGGCGGGAUGGUAAGUUAGGUGUGAAAACUAUGGGCUUAACCCAUAGACUGCACUUAAAACUAGCUGUUCUUGAGUGAAGUAGAGGUUGGCGGAAUUCCCAGUGUAGCGGUGAAAUGCGUAGAUAUUGGGAGGAAUAUCAGUGGCGA